rnacentral:rRNA from 1 species
CACGUAGGGCGCAAGCGUUGUCCGGAACUAUUGGGCGUAAAGAGCUCGUAGGUGGUUUGUUACGUCUGCUGUGAAAACCUAGGGCUUAACCCUGGGCUUGCAGUGGAUACGGGCAGACUAGAGGUAGGUAGGGGAGAAUGGAAUUCCUGGUGUAGCGGUGAAAUGCGCAGAUAUCAGGAGGAACACCGGUGGCGAAGGCGGCCAUCUGGAAGAUUACUGACGCUGAGACGCGAAAGCGUGGGGAGCAAACAGG